rnacentral:misc_RNA from 1 species
GUUAAUGUUCACCCCAGCUCAGGUUUAGCACAGGUGCUUCCCAGAUGGGUUGUUUACCAUGAGCUGGUCCUGACAACUAAGGAGUACAUGCGGCAGGUUACUGAACUUAAACCAGACUGGCUUGUGGAAAUAGCUCCUCACUACUAUCAGUUAAAAGAUGUCGAAGACUCUAGCUCGAAGAAAAUGCCUCGUGGAACUGGGCGUGCAUCUUAGGACCAAUAGCCCCCAAUUUUUUUUUUGGCAAAGAGCAGUUUCAAGAGAAUGGUUUAUGUUAAGACAUGGAUAUUAUUUGCCCAUCAUACUGUGAAGGUGGAAGGAUUUUGCUAUCUGAAGA